rnacentral:lncRNA from 1 species
AACUAAUAUCUCAUGACUUUUACAGAUGACCAAACCCAAGGACAUUGGGGAGUGUCCCCUCUGUGGGAAGAUCAUCCACACUGUCGCGAGGCACCUCAGGGAGGUCCAUUUGCUAAAGAACACGCAGGAGAGACUGAUCCUCAACCACCUGGCGACAGGCAGGACUUUGAUCCCCGCCGGACCCUGCCCCCUUCCCCUUCCCGGGUGUUCUUCACAUCUGUUAAACCUGGAGAAGCAUCUGCAGUCGCAGCACAGCAACCUGAGUGGCCAAAGUGUGGAUCGGGAGAUCAAGGCCCUCAAGCGAGUUGCAGCUCUUAGCAAGCUGGCGGCCUUGAGGGCCACUUCUCCCGAUCCACCUAUGGUCAGCGUGCUGGACCUGGAACAGCACCAGGCGGAGCAGACUGACCCGGAGGCGGGAGUGAUCAUGUGCCAGAAGCGCACAUGCGUCAAUGCCCGCCUCCGGGUCCGCGAGCUGGAGCGAGAGGUAGCAGACGUUCGUGCCAGUCUGACCCAGUUCCAGGCCCUGGCCUGGCCUCAGCGCCGACCUCGACGUGAGUGAAUGAAAAAAACAUAGCAAUUAUACCUUAAUUGCUAUGUUAAUUGCUAUGAAAACAGUCCUGUUUUCUCUUGCUGUUUGUUUUUUCCUCUCCGCAGAGGCAGCCCCAGCCCCAUCCCGAGCCCCAGCCCCAGCCCCAGCCCCGGAGGAGGAGGAGGAGGAGGAGGAGGAGCCUUCGUCCCCAGAGCAGGAAGCCCCGCCCAGAGCCCCAGCCCCAGCCCCAAUACCGGCCCCGGAGGAGGAGGAGGAUGAGGAGGAGGAGGAGGAGCCUUCAUCCCCAGAGCAGGAAGCCCCGCCCACAGCCGCCACGGAGGAGGAGGAAGCCCCACAGCCGCCACGGAGCCGCCCACAGCCGCCCACAGCCGCCACGGAGGAGGAGGAAGCCCCGGCCCCGGCCCCGGCCACAGCCACCAAGGAGGAGGAGGAGGAGGAGGAGGAGCAGCAGCAGGAGAAGCACACCCGGAAAGCGGUCCGUAGAAAACUGCCAUUUGGCACUCUUGGGGUGAGAAGAUAAUUGAUUAGUGUAAUACAUAAUCAUGUUGCCCAAGGCCAAAGUAUGUAACUUAAUCAUGUCUUGUUAUUGUUUUUCUCUCUACCCAGAAAAAAAGCAAGAUGUCAAAUGAAGCUGCUGCUGCUGCUGAGGAGGAGGAGGAGGAGGAGGAGGAGGAAGAGGAGGAUGGAGGAGGAGGAGGCACCAGGGAUGUGGUGAGUGGGAUGGAUUAGUUCAUCAAUAAUUUUACAAAUCUUUACCAAGUGUAGAACCAAUG